UACGUAGGGGUGCAAGCGUUAAUCGGAAUUACUGGGCGUAAAGCGUGCGCGGGCGGUUUUGUAAGUCUGUCGUGAAAGCCCCGGGCUCAACCUGGGAAUUGCGAUGGAGACUGCAAGGCUUGAAUCUGGCAGAGGGGGGUAGAAUUCCACGUGUAGCAGUGAAAUGCGUAGAGAUGUGGAGGAACACCGAUGGCGAAGGCAGCCCCCUGGGUCAAGAUUGACGCUCAUGCACGAAAGCGUGGGGAGCAAACAGG
rnacentral:rRNA from 1 species